UAAGUCAAGGAGCUCCCUACAAUCCAGAUGGCCAGCCGAUGGGGGGCUUCGUCAUGGACGGCCAGCAGCACAUGGGAAUCAGACCACCUGGAGCAAUGGGUGGAAUGGGAAUGAACAUGGGCAUGGAAGGUCAAUGGCACUACAUGUAGCCCCGCCCCAGUCUGACCAAUCGCAACACAAAGGGGGAUAACUGUAGGGCAAACCAGGGGGUCACCUGUCUUACAGAGGCCUAAAGGAGCAUGGGAUCAGGAUCGUUGACUUCCUGAUGACAACAACCAACAGCAACCCCUCUGUCCACCUCCAAGACUCAACUACAUUUGAUUUGGCUGAUAUCUACAACAUGGGAACCUUCCAUGACUGCCUACAAUCUUUGUCUAUGUAUCAGUGACAGUGAUGCACAGAAGAUAACCCAGAUGACCCCCUGUCAUGACAGAUCCCUGCUUCUUAUCUGGUGGGCACUAGACUUUGCGAUUUUGCCACUGCCCACUAGGUUCACAUGGAUUCCUCCUUUACAAGUGAUUGUGAUUGCGAGCAUAGAUGACACAUGAGAGAAACAUUGUGUCCUUUGCCUGUACCUUCAGCGAAUGCAGCACCUGGUGAUAUAUUCAAGACUCUUUGGCAAACAAAAGAGACUUCCUGUGAAGAGCACUCCGCUCUUUGGGACAAUAGAAUUGGACCAAGGAGAAGCCAAUGUCUGUAUCUGACAGGACACUAACAAAGCAAAAGAGGUGCCCUUUAAAAAAAUAUAGUGGAUUGAUACAUGGAAGGAGGGAAAACAAGAGAAAAGAAAUAAAAAGUAUAACUAUAUCAACCCCUAGUUUGGGAAGCAAGUGGAGAAAGAAAAUAUACUGUAUACUGUUGUAAAAUUACGCUGGACUCUCACAAGAACUGGGAAUUUAAGUAUUGUAAAUGCUAUUGUAUUGUUCUGCAUAUUAUGUUGUUUCUAAUAGAUUUUUUAAAAAAAGGAUGUGAACUUUUUUCUCUUUUUUUCUGGUUUCUUUCCACACUAUGUGUGUGCAGUCUCUCCAUCAAAUUUGACCUCCUGCCCCCUCCCGCCAUUAAAUCACAAUGCAUUUUUAAAAGAAAAAAAGUAAAUAAACAGACAAUUCGAUAAGUUUGUCUUUGCUCCCAGGCCUUUAUUUGAAUGGUAAUCGAGUGAUUCAGAUGUCCUGUUUUUUUGUUUUACAUACAGCACACACAGCCCAUCCACGUACAUGCAGGGUGUAACAAACUUGUAUUAGUGUCGCUGUGUCUACACCUUGUAAACUCCAAAUUUGGUGAUGUUCUUAAAACAUUUCCAUAUCAGUUGAUUAUAUGUUUCACUACUGGUGAAGAGUGUUUUAUUGGUUUGGACAAUUCUCUAUCCCCAUUUGGGGUCAUGCCACUCUCUUUUAACUCGUGGGAUUAACUCCAAACACACAAUGAACUCAAGCUAAACACAGUUUCUGAGAAGUUAACAUUUUGAAGGUACAAGGUUUUUAUUCCAAUCGACACUAUCCAAUUCAUCAUUUUAUCCAUUUCAUCCUCUGUUCACAUGAGGACAGCCACAUAAUGUUGGUUUCAUCAUGGCUAACAUGACUGGCCAACAGACAUGAGACAGAGCUUCACCUAAUGCUCACAAACAAUCUA